AUAAAUCAUGUAUAAAAGGGUGAGAGUUGUUGGAGAGAAGAUACUCAACACCUGUUGCUCAACAUAAAAUAUAGCUUCUACUAUUCUACAUCUUUGAGAAUCAUGAGGUCCUUGGCUCUAGCUGUGCUCCUGGGUACACUGUUGCCACUCAUCCACGCAAGUUGCUGGUAUAAAAAAGCUGAAACAGACAUAAAACAGUGUCUUUAUGACAAAGAGGGUGCAUGGUAUCCUAUUGGUUCCCGCUGGAGGACUAAAGACUGUAUGGACUGCAGUUGUCAUGACAACGGGGUGAUGUCAUGCUGUUCUGCGUACUCUACCCCGACAAGAAUUCCUGAUGAUUGCAGGAUGCAGUUUAACCAAAAGGCAUGUGAAUACGAAGUUUUUAAGAAGGACGAUCGCUCCGUGUCCUGCCCUGUCUUGGGCGCUGUGGUGUAGUAAUGUGUGAGGACCGUUAAUUGUUCGCUUAGCUCAGCCAUACUGUCUGGAAGUAUUUUGUAACCGUGACCUUAGAGAAAAACCACGUGAAUAUAACACGAUCACAUGGGAUCUUACGUGAAGUUAAGGCAAUAACGUGAGGUAAUGUAAUGCGAUGUGAAAACAUGAAACUGCACAUAGUGUUCUCUGAAAUGUCUUGUUAAACCUAGUGAUUUUUCGCUUGUGAAAUCCUGUGUUUUUUAAGGUGAUUAUUUUAAAACAAUACUGUAAUAUGUUCAUGGUUAAAGCUCUAUUAUGUAAUAUGUGUGGACUGUGUCAUGUUCAGCAGUUGGGUUCAAAUACUUUGACUGUUUCAUCUACCCUGCCUGGUGUCCCAGAUGUAUGGGAUAUGCAGUUUUAGGACAAUUCUAAGCAAGCUCGGAUAAAGUAUUUGAAACUAUAAUUUUUAUCCGGGUCGGUUACAGACCAAAAAGGAGCAUGACCUGCACACAGUACAUUAACAUAGCAUUGCUAAGUAACCAUGAAUAAUAAUAAUGUUUGUGGAUAGCAUUUACCAGGCAGACAUUAAAAUACUGAACUACAAUGCAAUUGCUUUAAAUGCAUAUUUUCAUUUUAUGUCAAUAAAUCAAUAUAAUCAAGAUA